UUACGCCCAUAUCACGUUGAAACAUCGGUUCUCGCACGAUCACUGAAGUUAAGCAACACUUGGUUAGUACCAUGAUGGGUGACCACUUGUGAAUAUUAGAUGCUGCAAG